UACGGAGGGAGCUAGCGUUAUUCGGAAUUACUGGGCGUAAAGUGCACGUAGGCGGCUUUGUAAGUAAGAGGUGAAAGCCCAGAGCUCAACUCUGGAAUUGCCUUUUAGACUGCAUCGCUUGAAUCAUGGAGAGGUCAGUGGAAUUCCGAGUGUAGAGGUGAAAUUCGUAGAUAUUCGGAAGAACACCAGUGGCGAAGGCGGCUGACUGGACAUGUAUUGACGCUGAGGUGCGAAAGCGUGGGGAGCAAACAGG
rnacentral:rRNA from 1 species